GACGAACGCUGGCGGCGUGCUUAACACAUGCAAGUCGAACGGAAAGGCCCUGCUUUUGUGGGGUGCUCGAGUGGCGAACGGGUGAGUAACACGUGAGUAACCUGCCCUUGACUUUGGGAUAACUUCGGGAAACCAGAGCUAAUACCGGAUAAUAUAUUGAACCGCAUGGUUCAAUAGUGAAAGACGGUUUUGCUGUCACUUAUAGAUGGAUCCGCGCCGCAUUAGCUAGUUGGUAAGGUAACGGCUUACCAAGGCAACGAUGCGUAGCCGACCUGAGAGGGUGAUCGGCCACACUGGAACUGAGACACGGUCCAGACUCCUACGGGAGGCAGCAGUAGGGAAUCUUCCGCAAUGGGCGAAAGCCUGACGGAGCAACGCCGCGUGAGUGAUGAAGGUCUUCGGAUCGUAAAACUCUGUUAUUAGGGAAGAACAAAUGUGUAAGUAACUAUGCACGUCUUGACGGUACCUAAUCAGAAAGCCACGGCUAACUACGUG
rnacentral:rRNA from 1 species